UACGAAGGGGGCUAGCGUUGCUCGGAAUUACUGGGCGUAAAGGGCGCGUAGGCGGCCAGUUUAGUCAGAGGUAAAAGCCCAGGGCUCAACCUUGGAACUGCCUUUGAUACUGGCUGUCUUGAGUUCGGGAGAGGUGAGUGGAAUGCCGAGUGUAGAGGUGAAAUUCGUAGAUAUUCGGCGGAACACCAGUGGCGAAGGCGACUCACUGGCCCGAUACUGACGCUGAGGCGCGAAAGCGUGGGGAGCAAACAGG
rnacentral:rRNA from 1 species